UCUGCUGACCGCGUGUCCUUAGGACCUACUGACGGCUGAAGACAGACAGACUGUACUGUUUGAGCUGCUACAGGAACUACAGAGAAAGGUGACAGAGGAUGACGCGUUGACAGAGUUAACUGCCCUUGUGGCUGAGAUCAUUCUUACUCUGAUGACAAAUCUAGGUCAGUGUUUCUGUCAGGAUUCUGACACUGACGACGAAACCAGUCACACUUCCUCACCAUGCUGGACUCCACAGCAGGUUAAGGUCAAACAGGGUCAUGGGGUCAAGUGUCAGGGUCACGAACCCAAUUUGCUUCCUCCCUUUAACUGGUGCUUAGAGGAGUGAUAGAUCACAUUCUGCUCUCAAGUGGUGGCAAGCAGUAGAGAGAAAGAGCCAAUCUAUAUGGGGCCCUGCUGUUAAUUAUCUAAAAAUCGUUCAGAAACCCAAGUCACUGACUCACAUAGAUACAGAGGCAGGAGGUGAUGGGGUUGGGAAGAGGAUUUUGGCCGAGGCCCACUCUGAGUAUGAGCAGCUGAGACAAGAAAAUGUAGCCACCAUUGUGUCGUACGGCGACAACUUUAUGGACAUGGUGUAUCGUGAUGUGAUGGA